GUGAAGGUCUCCAGCCUGCAUACUGCACAAUCAGUAUGCUGAGCCCACCACAAGGAUGAGAAUUCUGUAGAGAAUGGCUUCACCUGUCACCAGCCUUCCUGGGAACAACGUCUUUCCAACAGAAUUGGAAAAGAGCCUUCAGCCCCAGCGAGUGCUCCCAUGUUCACAGAUGCUCAUUGCAGGAGGGAGCAGCCUCAAGUAUACAGGGCUGAAAACAAAGACAUCCAAACCUUGAGCUAAACAGAAGAGGAAGAAGCCAAAAUCUUUGCCAGAGGUUUGACUGCUGGGUUUACUCAUGGCUUCAGCUGUCACCUUCAGAAAUAUGAGACCUCUCAGAUCAGGCCAUUAAUCCUGCUUCUCCCAGUGGAGUGUGACUCGUCUGGUGGGACAGGUUUGAUUGCAACUGGUUCUUCAGGCUGUCAUGACUGUGAAAGCAGACUUCAGCUGCACAUGCAGAUACCUCGGAUCCUGCUACUGCCUAAACCUAUUGAUCUGUUAUUGAGCUCGGCACCAACCGCUGGUUUAGCUCUAAAGAAGUUCAGCCUCUGCAGGCAGCUGGGAAGCAAGGCGGACUCAGAAAAGAAGUGGAUGCUCCAUCUCAUCAUAGAAUAACAGAAUAUUCCAAGUUGAAAGGGACCCAUAAGUAUCUAUCAUCAAGUCCAACUCCAGGCAUCACACAGCACCGCCCAAAAAUAAUGACCUAGCCUAUUCAAAGGAGAGAAUUCCUGCAGGAGAAAAACAAGCCAAAACAAACAAAAAAUCCCAACAAACUCACACCUGGAAAAUGCUGCUCCAUAUAGCCCCAACUGUCUUGUCCUGCUUCUAAGAGGUGUCAUGUGGCUGUUACAGAGACGUGCCCGAAAAUGGUGUUAUUAAGAGGACCAGGUGUUUGUUCAGGAGGCUGUGGGAUGCAGCCAUUCCUUGGGCACUACAGAUAUAUUUACAGCAUUAAAAGGUCAAACAAUCCCUUCAUUCCCUGUUUGCUUCAGAGAGUUUUGUUGAACAUUCUCAUUAUUCGUUGCGGUAUUUCUUUGGUUUAAGAGGAUUUCUCUGCACAACCAUAGUUAUUAGAAUGCAGUGUGUGUGCAGUGAAUGUGUUAUUACUAUAACAAGCUUCUCCUCAUAGUAGAUAUUUAUUCUGAGUGUGAGGCUUUUAGUUCAGUUGUGUGUGUGGCAGAGCAGGCGAGAUGGGGCAGGUAAUGUGGAAAAAAAGAUGGAGUAGAAUGGGGAAAGACACAAAAUUAGUAGUUUGGAGACAUGACUUCUGCCCCUAUCUUUGUGAUGGGCUCUGUGCCGACUCUUGCCUUCCCUUUCACAAAAAGGUCAGGAAAAUGAGAAGCACUGUACAACAGGCUGGGGACUCUUAG
rnacentral:lncRNA from 1 species